UGAGGAAUAUUGGGCAAUGGGCGGAAGCCUGACCCAGCAACGCCGCGUGAAGGAAGACGGCCUUCGGGUUGUAAACUUCUUUUUUGGGGGAAGAGAGAGGACGGUACCCCAAGAAUAAGUCACGGCUAACUACGUGCCAGCAGCCGCGGUAAUACGUAGGUGACAAGCGUUAUCCGUAAUUACUGGGCGUAAAGCGAACGCAGGCGGUGCGUUAAGUCGGACGUGAAAUUUCCCGGCUUAACUGGGAGGGGUCGUUGGAGACUGGCGUGCUUGAGGCGAUGAGAGGGGUGUAGAAUUCCCGGUGUAGUGGUGGAAUGCGUAGAUAUCGGGAGGAAUACCAGUGGCGGAAGCGACACUCUGGCAUUAGCCUGACGCUGAGGUGCGAAGGCGUGGGGAGCGAACG
rnacentral:rRNA from 1 species